rnacentral:rRNA from 1 species
UACGGAGGGUGCAAGCGUUAUCCGGAUUCACUGGGUUUAAAGGGUGUGUAGGCAGGCUAUUAAGUCAGUGGUGAAAUCUCCGGGCUCAACCCGGAAACUGCCAUUGAUACUAUUAGUCUUGAAUAUCGUUGAGGUAGGCGGAAUAUAUCAUGUAGCGGUGAAAUGCAUAGAUAUGAUAUAGAACACCGAUUGCGAAGGCAGCUUGCUAAACGAUUAUUGACGCUGAGGCACGAAAGCGUGGGGAUCAAACAGG